AUUGAACGCUGGCGGCAGGCCUAACACAUGCAAGUCGAACGCGUCGCGGACGGGUGUGUAAUGUCUGGGACACUGCCUGAUGGAGGGGGAUAACUACUGGACACGGUAUCUAAUACCGCCUACAAUCAGCUGUGCCGAGAUGGGAUUAGCUAGUUGGUGGGGUAACGGCUCACCAAGGCGACGAUCCCUAGCUGGUCUGAGAGGAUGCACAGCCACACUGGAACUGAGACACGGUCCAGACUCCUACGGGAGGCAGCAGUGGGGAAUAUUGCACAAUGGGCGCAAGCCUGAUGCAGCCAUGCCGCGUGUAUGAAGAAGGCCUUAGGGUUGUAAAGUACUUUCAGCGGGGAGGCGUUACCCGCAGAAGAAGCACCGGCUAACUCCGUGCCAGCAGCCGCGGUAAUUC
rnacentral:rRNA from 1 species